UACGUAGGGUGCGAGCGUUGUCCGGAAUUAUUGGGCGUAAAGAGCUCGUAGGCGGUGUGUCACGUCGGCCGUGAAAACCUGCAGCUUAACUGUGGGCGUGCGGUCGAUACGGGCAUCACUGGAGUUCGGCAGGGGAGACUGUAAUUCCUGGUGUAGCGGUGAAAUGCGCAGAUAUCAGGAGGAACACCGGUGGCGAAGGCGGGUCUCUGGGCCGAUACUGACGCUGAGGAGCGAAAGCGUGGGGAGCAAACAGG
rnacentral:rRNA from 1 species